AUUGAACGCUGGCGGCAGGCCUAACACAUGCAAGUCGAACGAGUGGCGGACGGGUGAGUAAUGUCUGGGAAACUGACUGAUGGAGGGGGAUAACUACUGGAAACGGUAGCUAAUACCGCAUACCAUCAGAUGUGCCCAUAUGGGAUUAGCUUGUUGGUGGGGUAACGGCUCACCAAGGCAACGAUCCCUAGCUGGUCUGAGAGGAUGAACAGCCACACUGGAACUGAGACACGGUCCAGACUCCUACGGGAGGCAGCAUUGGGGAAUAUUGCACAAUGGGGGAAAGCCUGAUGCAGCCAUGCCGCGUGUAUGAAGAAGGCCUUCGGGUUGUAAAGUACUUUCAGCGGGGAGGCGUUACCCGCAGAAGAAGCACCGGCUAACUCCGUGCCAGCAGCCGCGGUAAUAC
rnacentral:rRNA from 1 species